UUGUGUUGCUGACUGUGAUAUGAAUAAUAUCUGAUAACUGUGAGAAAAAUAACUAUGCAUGUGAAUGUGUGAACAAAAAAAAAAACCAAAGGCAAAAAAUGGAAUAUUUUGGAUCUCAUGAUUAUAAAUUUUAUGAGUUGGACCGGUGUCCACUCUGCUGCGGCCGUGGCCUUCUGUCUGAAGAAAGACCCCGAUAACAAAGAUGAUGCUCUUUUGGAAGCAGCAAGGACCAACAACGCUCAGGAUGUAGCCAGAGAUAAGGAGGAUAUAGGAAAGAUGGAGAGAAAGACGGACACUCUUUCUCAAAUUGAU
ensembl:lncRNA